GAUGAACGCUGGCGGCGUGCCUAAUACAUGCAAGUCGAGCGAACAGACGAGGAGCUUGCUCCUCUGACGUUAGCGGCGGACGGGUGAGUAACACGUGGAUAACCUACCUAUAAGACUGGGAUAACUUCGGGAAACCGGAGCUAAUACCGGAUAAUAUAUUGAACCGCAUGCUUCAAUAGUGAAAGACGGUUUUGCUGUCACUUAUAGAUGGAUCCGCGCCGCAUUAGCUAGUUGGUAAGGUAACGGCUUACCAAGGCGACGAUGCGUAGCCGACCUGAGAGGGUGAUCGGCCACACUGGAACUGAGACACGGUCCAGACUCCUACGGGAGGCAGCAGUAGGGAAUCUUCCGCAAUGGGCGAAAGCUUGACGGAGCAACGCCGCGUGAGUGAUGAAGGUCUUCGGAUCGUAAAACUCUGUUAUUAGGGAAGAACAAAUGUGUAAGUAACUAUGCACGUCUUGACGGUACCUAAUCAGAAAGCCACGGCUAACUACGUG
rnacentral:rRNA from 1 species